UGGCGCACGUGGAGCCGGGCACGCUCACACUCACCCCCGGAGCCUUGCACGCUCAGCACGGGCCAUGCACGCUCGCACUCGGCCUCGUGAGCCUUGCACGCUCACCCCUAGAGCUUUGCACGCUCACCCCUAGAGCUUUGCACGCUCACCCCUGGAGCUUUGCACACUCACCCUCUUUGCACACUCAGCCCCGGAGCUUUGCAUGCUCACCCCCGGAGCCUUUGCACACUCGCUCUCCGGCCGCGCACGCUCCCCGCAGGGCCAUGCACGCUCCCGCUCAGCCUCCGGAGCCUUGCACGCUCGCCGUGCACCAGGCAGCCCCCGGGCCGUGCACGCUCGCCCCAGGCCGUGCACGCCGGCCCUCACCACCGAGCCAU
rnacentral:lncRNA from 1 species